GAGAAGAGCAAUCAAGAUGAGUAGCCUCUUCAGGACCCCGAUACAAGGAUACUGUACUAUCGUCAUCCAGUCCAUUUUGACAUUUUUGUAUCGCAAAUUUUUGGUAAGAGGAUAUACAGAAGCAGAAACUGUUUAGGAAUCUCUGUAGGUUGUGUUGUUUAGUGAGGUAAAAUUUUCAGGUAAAAUACGAUUCGAGUUUAAGUAGACGUCUUUCGGAGAAGAUCUAUGAAGGAAUUUUCUUUAAAAUUUUUGUGAGAUCU
rnacentral:misc_RNA from 1 species